GUGCUCACUUCAGAAGCACAUAUACUAAAUUUGGAACAAUAGAGAAGACUAGUAUGGCCACUGUACAAGGAUGACACACAAAUUCAUGAAGGGUUCCAUAUUUUU
ensembl:snRNA U6 U6 spliceosomal RNA